AUCUUUUGACUGCUUGUCUCUGAUAUCUCCUAACAGUUUUCCAAGAAAUUUCUGAUAUUUACUUUGAAACCGAUGCUAUAUUGCUGCAUACUCUGUAGUUCUUAUGCAUAGAGCGUGGCUGGCAGUGAAUGCUUGAAAGACAUAGCAACAGUAACCAAGGGAGCGGGGCUUAGCUAAGGAUCAUGUUAUCCAAUGACAUUCCGUUUGGAGCUUCCACCUUGUUCCCCGGCGCUGCGUUGUGAUUGUUUGUCCCUCUUCACCGAAGGACACGGCAGUCAUUACGAUGCCCCGUGGCAAGUCCUACCUUCGCUCUGAGGCGGCUAAGUGGAGGAUGGCAGAGCGACAGUUGGCCUCCAGUGACGCUGGUGCAUCUUGUGGCACAGGGUGGUGCCACAAAGUGCACAAACGGUCAAUUUCUGAGCACACUGGGCGCCAGCAUAAAUUGGUCAUUCCAGUUGAGGUCCCAGGCAAGACGCUUGUUCUUCUUGUAGGGGCGUCCCCUCUGCGCUCCCUUGCAGAUGGGAUUGUGCUGAUGCCAGAGGAUUGCUACACCUUUGGCGUCAUGUCCACUCCAGGGGCGUGUCCUGACUAGCUCAGGACUGAGGAUGAAAAUGCUGUUCUUCCUCGGAUCUCUGAUGCUGUCUGUGUCAUGGCCCCUAGCAACAACCUUAUUAUUUUGUUUAGGUCUUCGCUGGGACCUUGUCCCACACUUGACAGUCCCGGGGGAUAUCCAAGAGUUUUUCCGGCAUGAAUUUCACCUCGUGUCAGCACGUCUCGGUAUGUUUGAAAAUAAUGGUACAUGGUUCUAAACAGUUUUAUGAAGGCUUAUGAGAAUUAUAUAUUUUACAUAUAAUUUCUAAUAUUAUACCCAUUAUGGUUUUCUAAUAAGAAAGUUGACAUUGCCUUUUUAAAAUGUGUUUUUCAAAAACUGUUUAUUUUCUUGUUCCUUUUUUUUAAGGUGUGAAAGUGAUAGUUUGUGUGCUUUAUCUAAGAAAAUGACAAGUGUUAGAAAUAAUCUACAUGUCUGUCAACACUGCCUUGCGAGAGUGUUUCAUUCAUAUUGUAUAUGGAUUACGCUCGCGUAAUAUCACAUAGGAUUACGCUUGCGCAGGUCCUAGUCCUUUUUUUUGUUAACCAACUGGUCUUUUUGUGUGUGUUGGGGUAGUUCCUAGGGGGUAGUCUAGCUGUUCUUAAGUGCAUUCACAAGACACCCGAAGAAGCCCAUAGAGAUACUGUUUGUGUGUCACAGAGGAUAGUCAGGUGUCUGGUUAUGACAAGUUCAAAGAGACAACUCCGUAGUUCUGGUUGGAGGAGGGUUCCUUGGGGGUAGUCUAGCUGUUCUUUUAAGUGCAUUCAAUGGCACAAGACAUGUUCCUGAUCAAAUAUGUAAUGUAAUUAAUGUAUGUAAUAAUUUGCAAUAAAAUUGUAUGAUAUUUUA